rnacentral:rRNA from 1 species
AUUGAACGCUGGCGGCAGGCUUAACACAUGCAAGUCGAGCGGGGAAAGGUAGCUUGCUACCUGACCUAGCGGCGGACGGGUGAGUAAUGCUUAGGAAUCUGCCUAUUAGUGGGGGACAACAUUCCGAAAGGAAUGCUAAUACCGCAUACGCCCUACGGGGGAAAGCAGGGGAUCUUCGGACCUUGCGCUAAUAGAUGAGCCUAAGUCAGAUUAGCUAGUUGGUGGGGUAAAGGCCUACCAAGGCGACGAUCUGUAGCGGGUCUGAGAGGAUGAUCCGCCACACUGGGACUGAGACACGGCCCAGACUCCUACGGGAGGCAGCAGUGGGGAAUAUUGGACAAUGGGCGCAAGCCUGCUCCAGCCAUGCCGCGUGUGUGAAGAAGGCCUUUUGGUUGUAAAGCACUUUAAGCGAGGAGGAGGCUACCGAGAUUAAUACUCUUGGAUAGUGGACGUUACUCGCAGAAUAAGCGCCGGCUAACUCUGUGCCAGCCGCCGCAGUAA